GGACCGCUGCGCUCAGACACUGACGCACGCUUCCUGCCGGCGACGGAACACUGAGAAGCGCAGCUUUAGGGAUGGCCAGCCUCCUGCUUAGCCCACGGCGUGGACAAAUUACAGGAGGCAAGGACACCUAAGCAUCUGAGCCAGCAGCAAAUGGAGGUGGCAAACGUAACAGUGUCACCUGCUUUACUCAAAUGUUGAAGUCUUCAAAUGAACAUCUGGACAGGUCUGACCAUCUCACUCCCACCUAUAGCCAGCCUUCCUAUUGAUUGCAGCAGUUCUCCAGUAUCCAAGCUAGAUGUUCUCAGAGACAAAGUGUCUUCUCUAUGUUUACAGCGCAAUAAAACUGAAAUCUGACACCCUGACAUUUAACUGCCCUGCAUUGUGUUCCUGAUCUCGAUUUGGUCUGUUCACACUCUUCCAGAUGUUGUAAGCCACUUUAGUGGUACAUCAUUAAAUGUGUCUACUUAAAGGAAAGCGUCAUUUUGUGUGAAU